AUUGAACGCUGGCGGCAGGCUUAACACAUGCAAGUCGAGCGAGCGGCGGACGGGUGAGUAAUGUCUGGGAAACUGCCUGAUGGAGGGGGAUCACUACUGGAAACGGUAGCUAAUACCGCAUACCAUCAGAUGUGCCCAACUGGGAUUAGCUAGUAGGUGGGGUACUGGCUCACCUCGGCGACGAUCCCUAGCUGGUCUGAGGGGAUGACCAGCCACACUGGAACUGAGACACGGGCCAGACUCCUACGGGAGGCAGCAGUGGGGAAUAUUGCACAAUGGGCGCAAGCCUGAUGCAGCCAUGCCGCGUGUGUGAAGAAGGCCUUCGGGUUGUAAAGCACUUUCAGCGAGGAGGCGUUACCCGCAGAAGAAGCACCGGCUAACUCCGUGCCAGCAGCCGCGGUAAUAC
rnacentral:rRNA from 1 species